rnacentral:rRNA from 1 species
UACGGAAGGCAGCAGUGGGGAAUAUUGCACAAUGGGCGCAAGCCUGAUGCAGCCAUGCCGCGUGUAUGAAGAAGGCCUUCGGGUUGUAAAGUACUUUCAGUCGUGAGGAAGGUGUUAAGGUUAAUAACCUUAGCAAUUGACGUUAGCGACAGAAGAAGCACCGGCUAACUCCGUGCCAGCAGCCGCGGUAAUACGGAGGGUGCGAGCGUUAAUCGGAAUUACUGGGCGUAAAGGGCACGCAGGCGGUUAAUUAAGUUGGAUGUGAAAUCCCCGGGCUUAACCUGGGAAUGGCAUUCAAGACUGGUUAGCUAGAGUCUUGUAGAGGGGGUAGAAUUCCAUGUGUAGCGGUGAAAUGCGUAGAGAUGUGGAGGAAUACCGGUGGCGAAGGCGGCCCCCUGGCAAAAGACUGACGCUCAUGUGCGAAAGCGUGGGGAGCAAACAGGAUUAGAUACC